rnacentral:pre_miRNA from 1 species
UUUCUACUCCCUCCGUCCAAAAAUACUUGUCAUCAAAAUGGACAAAAAGAGAUGUAUCUAAAACUAAAAUACGUCUAGAUACAUUUCCUUUUAUCCAUUCUGAUGACAAGUAUUUCCGGACGGAGGGAGUAUUUG